rnacentral:rRNA from 1 species
UCCUUAGAUGUCCUGGGCCGCACGCGCGCUACACUGAGUGUCUGGGAUACGAGUCUGCCUGGUCCGGCAAGGUCUAGGUAAUCGCUAAAAGACACAUCAUGCUUGGGAUAGAUUAUUGCAAAUAUUAAUCUUGAACGAGGAAUUCCUAGUAAGCGCAAGUCAACAGCUUGCGUUGAUUACGUCCCUGCCCUUUGUACACACCGCCCGUCGCUACUACUGAUUGGAUGUUUAAGCGAGGUUCUCGAACUGCUAGCGACUUAGCUUCAGUGAGGUCGCAGUGUGGGAAGUGAACCUAGCUUUGGUGUCUAGAGGAAGUAAAAGUCGUAACA